UACGGGGGGGGCAAGCGUUGUUCGGAAUUACUGGGCGUAAAGGGCGCGUAGGCGGCCUGCUAAGUCGAACGUGAAAUCCCUGGGCUCAACCCAGGAACUGCGUCCGAUACUGGUUGGCUUGAAUCCGGGAGAGGGAUGUGGAAUUCCAGGUGUAGCGGUGAAAUGCGUAGAUAUCUGGAGGAACACCGGUGGCGAAGGCGACAUCCUGGACCGGUAUUGGCGCUGAGGCGCGAAAGCCAGGGGAGCAAACGGG
rnacentral:rRNA from 1 species